CUCAAACAGCUCGGUAACAAAAAGCGAACUUUUUGACCUCUGAGAAAUGUUUGUCGUCGAUUAAAAACAUGAUGUCACGUUUUUAAAAGCUUCAAAUAUUCACGAGGCGGAUAUUAAAUGUGCAUUAUUAACGGUUAACUUAACAGAAAAAAAAUAAAGAUUAAACUCUUUAUCGAAAGGUUUUACCGGAAACUUUCAUCCCAGAAGAAACCGAGGGAGGAGGAAAUGUUGACAAAGACCGACCGCGAAGAGCAGGCUCACUGUUACCUCCAGACGCCUUAUAAAAGAGCAUAUGGGAUAAUAUGCAGGAAGGAUUUCUCCUUUGUAUUCCUCUUGUACUUCCUCACCGCUGAGGUUGAGGUCGGAGCAGGCCGUGCAGGAAGGAGGACGGAGGUGGUUGUGAGGACGACCCAGCCCGAGUUUGAAUAAAGAAACCAGAAGAUAAAGUAAGUGAGUAAGAAGUUUGAUUUAUUAGAUUGUGAUGAUGAAGAGUAGGAGCGUCUGGCUGCUGUCCUCCAGAACACGUCAACGUUUAAGAAAGAGACUCGACGACUAAAUGAUAUCUAAGAAGAAAAAAGAGCUUCAAAAUGAGGACAGAUUGGAACGGCUGAAUAAAGUCCGACUCUGCGCUCCGUCAGUGUCCUUAAAGUUAUCAGAGCAGAUGUCCGGCCGUGACGACUCACUGUUUUUACUCCUGUUGUCGUCGCACGGUUUCAGGCUUUGACCUUGACCUUGCCGCAUCGUCUCAGGUUCAACCUCCCGAUGCAGGGUUGUCAAGUGCGUGUCAUUUCCUGCCCCCACCCCCCCCACACACACACACACACAUAAUGAAAAAAGCACACUAAAGAUAGAAGGGCUGAAAGAAGAGAAAGUUUAACAUCGAUGUUUGAGC